rnacentral:lncRNA from 12 species
UAGUACUGUAAGUUUGUUCACUGAUGCUAAAACAUUAAAAUUUUUCUAGCAUAUUAUUACAUUUUGCUUUUAAAUUUGUUAUUUUAUUGAUUUAAUUUAAAUAUAACAUCUGCUAAUAGGUAUUAAAUAAUGUAGUUGAAAGACUGAUGAUUUGCAUUGGGUUUAUUAAAAUACUAAGUCGAGCAACUAUUUAUUAUCUUUCUUAUGAUAAGAGAUGCACACUCAUUUCUUUUUUUUUUGUUUUAAAGAUUUUAUUUAUUCAUGAGAGACACGCAGAGAGAUAGGCAGAGACACAGGCAGAGAGAAAAGCAGGCUCCAUGCAGGGAGCCUGAUGUGGGAGUCGAUCCCAGGUCUCCAGGAUCACACCCUGGGCUGAAGGCGGCACUAAACUGCUGAGCUACCAGGGCUGCCUCACACUCAUUUCUUAAGACAUAAAGAGAAAUGCAUGGCCACGCUGGCCAGUCAGCUUCAGUCAGCUCUGAGCCCAGACCCUGGUUUCCCAUUUCACUACAUGCAGAAGUACCCUCUGACUUGGAAAUGGAGAUUGAAUUUAGCACCCCAGGUUUUGGAGGCCAGCCCCAGCCCCUGGAAUGGCUGCCAGUGUAGCAGCUGCAGAGCUGUGGUUACAACGUCGUAGUAACAGUCGGAGAGCAAGAUGAAGCCAGGACUGGCAGCCUCAGUGUUGUGGUUAACAGGUGUUGAAGCAAGUAUGAAGAAAAUGUGAGAUCAAGCCACAGCCGGGUUUUGAGAGGUAAGUGUCCUAUUAAAUGCAUAAAGAAAUAACACAAGCAGGCAGUGUUGUUACCUCACUGAAGUUUAAAUCCAUCUUCAAAUUAGCAGGAUCCCAUGACUUUUCCUAUGGUUUUUCUAAACCUUAAUACUUGCCUGGGUUGUAACUCCAAUUUGGAAAGGAUGACAAUGUUGAGAGUCCAAUGUUCAGAGGUAAAAGGUGAACCUCUGUGAGAAAGUGGCUGGAGUUUUGAUUAGCACCUCUUUUGGAACUUUCUCACCUGCUAAUUCCUCAUGCUUUUUUCUUCUUCCGUUAAAAAUUGCAAUGCCCCAUCCAUCCAUCCAUCCAUCCAUCCAUCCAUCCAUCCAUCCAUUCACUAAACAUAUAUUGAGUGCCUACCAUGGGCUAAGCAUCAAGGACACAGAUAAUUAAAUGCCACCACUGCUCUCUGGGAAUUGAAUCUUGAUGGGAGGACAGCACUCAAUCCCAUAGGAGGCAAUAAAUGUGUAAAAUGUGCACUGGAAAUACA